GACUUGGUCCUUAACACACGUGUCUCCUUACCCUUCUCUUUCUCCCUCUCUCUAUCUCUCCUCCUUGCCUACGCUGCUUUUUCUCCUCUUUUCUAUUUUCCUUCUGAAACUUGACCAAAUUCUUCUCCUCUUUUCGUUAGAGUUCUGGUUAAUAAUGGCGGGAUUGGCAAUUUCACCUCCUCUCAGUCUCACCUUCUCUUCUCGAACAAGAAACGCUAAACCCACUUCAUAUCUAUCUCACAAUCAAAGGACUUCGUCCCCAUCAUGGACUCAACGGUAGUGAGGAGGUGAACCAAACACUUCAAUCUGGAAACCAAGCACUCAGGCGUGGCUGAUCUCAGACGCAGAACGCUGAGGACGAGACGCAGAGCCAAGCCAUUCCUCUUCAGCACUCCGGCUGAGACUUUAGGGAACACAAGGGAGAGGACGAAUCGUUAGGUUUCUGUUUUGUUUACCCUUUGCUGAUAGUGUGAAGCUGAUGUUGUCUUGUCUUUCUUGGCUAGUUUAGUUUUGGGUAUCUAGUUAGUUUAGUCUCUAGCUGCUUACAUUAGAAGAUGCAGGCCUUUGCAAUGAGUUAACAGGUUGGUAGCUAGUUAGUUUAGUUCUCUAGCCUCUUACAUUAGUAGUGUAGCUUGAUUUAUGGUUCCCACUUGUGUUUUUGUCUGGUUUCAUGGUGUCAUGUUAUGUAGCAGGGGUGAUGGUCAGCCAUUGGUCGAGCUCUCAUUGAGUUCUGCGAUGAUGCACCACCUGUAAAUUCCAGAAAAACAUGCCUAUGUUGGACAGUAUGAUCAAAACAGAGAUCCACAGCGACUAUAUGCACGUAGGAUUCCAAUGGUGAGUUCCUCUGUCCCGCAUCUUCUCCUCCCCCUCUCCUCGUUCCUAUAGCCUUUCUCCGUUGCUGCCAUCUUGAUCGUCGUAGACCUCUAUUUUCUUUCCAACGUCUAGCAUUCCGUCGAGAUAGGUCAAAAUCGAGGAUACAAUGAACAAAUACGUGUACAUAUAUUUUGAAUUCGAACGUCGCGUGUAUGGUGUAUUGUUGAAGGCAUCAGUGGACGAUAUAACUUUGUCAAUGGUGGAAGAUAAGAUCUAUAAAAAGCUUGCGUUGGAUGAAAGUACGGAGAAACUGGAGUUGAGCUACGUUCCGAUGGUGGUUGGAUGUGAGGAACGGUUAACUCUCGGUGAUGAUGAGGAUUUGUAUGUUUAUCUAAUGCACAUGGAUAAAAGGAACCGUAGAUGUCUUUUGUUUUUGGAGACCACUAGUAUAUCGGAACAGCCAGACCAACUGUCGAGAGUGAGUGGGUUAAAGUCUAUUCGGUAUGAACUACCUAGAGUUGCAGCCAAAUGAAGGAUGAUCGGGUGGAUUUUGACAUAAACCGGGUUCGGGGGUGUUACAGUCGGGACCAGCAGUUAGUGUCUGUCUCAUGAUGUUAAGAGCAGUUAGUCUAUGGUUCUGCUUUUUUUUCUUACAUGCUCUGGGUUGUUUUGUAUGGGAGUGGAUUGAAGAAGCAAUCUUCUUUUGUUUUGAGCA